UACGAGUCUGGUGGUGGAAUGGAGGU
rnacentral:piRNA from 1 species